rnacentral:lncRNA from 1 species
UAUAAACCAAUGUUUUUAAACCCGAUCCGGACACUAAACCGGACGACUUAUCGGGUCGCUGGAUCACUGGGUCGACCGCGGAUGAACCGCGGAUUAAUAAAUGAAUUAAUUUUAUUAUAUAAUAAUAUAUUAGCUAUGAAAAUAAAUAUAUAAAAACUAAAGUUUAAUAUUUUCUAAAUGUUUUUUAAAACAUAAAAUAAUAGUUUGGAUAUCUAUAUACUUUAUGUUUAAAAAGUAUUUAAGAAAUACUUAAAUUUAGUUUUUAUAUUUUUAUUUUCAUUUGACAUGCAAAAUAUAAAAAAAAAAAGUAGUUUAGACUAUUUAAAAUUUUCUGUAACAAAGUAAGAGUUAUGACAUCUAAAAAAAUCAAGAUAUAAAAUUCACA